rnacentral:misc_RNA from 1 species
CCAAUCUUUGCAAGGUCUGGAUGGAGCUCAGCCGCUAAUUCGGGAGGGAAAGCCAGCAAGGUCGGUAGCCACAGAGCCAAGAAAGCAGCGUGCAAGAAGAAGCAACCUGUAUUGUAGACUAUACCCCGGGUACCUCAAAAGUCAAUCGAAAUCUCGACGCCCAAACCCGGUCAGCUUCUCUCUCGAGCUGACCAACCGCGCCCCCCUAGCAAGAAUCCAAGCUGCUGCCCUUUUUUUUCCCUUCUCCCUGCAGGUGGUGGAAGAGCCCCGCCCAGUGACGACCCACUCACAGACUCACUCCUGGCGGCGAGAAGGGAAGAUAACCCUGCUUGCAGAAACGGCGGCGCCGCAGCAGAUGUCGGAGGAGCUCACACCUCGAGGCGAGGCGAGGCCGUUGAAGGGCAAACACACCGCCCUCACGGGUCGGCCGGGUAGGUCGAGGCUGGGUGCGGCCGGAUCGCUUGACUUGGCGCUGGCUGGCUGGCUGGACGGAGGCGAGGUGCGGCGGAGGCAGAUGAAGCAAGCAAGCAAGCAAACCGGCGGACGGUCGGAAGCAGACCGCCACCGGCCGAGCUAAGGUGGUGUGGAAGCCGCGGAAGGGAAGCGGUGGCUUCUUUGGCUUUUCCCUCCCCUCUUGUCUUGUGCGCUGCACUGCACGCUACGCUCCGGAGUCUGGGAGUAGGGA